ACCCACUAACCCACUAGGAGCACUGAAAGAUCGGGUAUGGUCGACUAAAGGGGCGGGGGGGGGGGGGUGAAUAGGCGACUAAAUUUUUUGCUUUUCUUUUUCUUUUCUUGAAAGGUACAAACACUUAAUCCUAGGGUUCACUAGAUUUUCUAAAGUUAAUGCAACCCUAGUAUGAAGUGCAAUAGCCGAAGCAACAAGAUUAACAAUAGCCUGCAAGAAUGUAAAGGGGGGAAAUGAUACCACAUGUGAGACAAAGAUUUCUCCGAAGUUCCACCUUUUAGGAUAGGUGUACAUCUUCGUCUGGAGGAGUGCUCUACCACAAAGGUAAAGGUGACACAAAGGCUCACUCUAUUCUCCUCUCACAACACCACA
rnacentral:lncRNA from 1 species